rnacentral:tRNA from 1 species
GAAGGGUUUCAAUUGAACUGCUAAUUCUCACACCUGAAACUAAAACCUCAGACCCUUCAA